ensembl:lncRNA
UCAUCCAUAAAACCCGAGACUGCGAGCCACGCAGCAGAGCAGUUCUCCUGGCUUCCCUUACCCUACUGCUCUCCACCCGGGUGCCUUUUCCCAAUAAAAUCUCUUGCUUUGUCAGCACAUGUGUCUCCUCGGACAAUCCAUUUCCGAGUGUUAAACCCCAGUUUUGGGUCCUGGAAGGGGUCCGCCUUCCUGCAACAAAUGGUGACUCUGGUGGAAUUCUUCUUCGCUGUGACUGACAUCCUGACCACUCGGGGUACUCAGGGGCCAGCUUGCCUGCCAAUGGACCAGACCCAGUGGCCGCAUCUGGGAUCCUUUUUCCCUGGUCUCCUCCUGACACGGACAACUGGCCAGAGUGCCCCAACCGUCCCCUGGUCCUGGACACAGGAAUCUGGUCAAAGGGCCCUCAGCCUGAGCUGAGGAUUGGAGACUGAUCACUUCCUCUUGGCAGAGAACUCGAAUUCUGGUUCUGAUCUGGUCUGAUUUCUGGUAAGGCUGAGUUCCAGUCCUCCAUUCUCUGGAGGCCCAGGGAAAAGUCCCAUAACGCCUGGGUAUCUGUAGGUGGCAGGAGACAUCUGUAAGGCCACCCCUUUCGCCCCCUUCUCCUGCCUCCUCCCCCCUUCUUUCAACCUGGCUUCCUUUCCUCCCUUUGAAAUCUUUGAUGUUAGUACUUGGAUCUGAAGUUCUGUGUCUCUAUAAGAGGUUUUCUGAGAGACCGUAUUCUUGUAUUUAAGGGCUUCCCUGGUGGCGCAGAGGUGAAAGCAUCUGCCUGCAAUGUGAGAGACCUGGGCUCGAUCCCUGGGUCGGGAAGAUCCCCCUGGAGAAGCAAAUGGCAACCCACUCUGGUAUUCUUGCCUGGAGAAUCCCAUGGACGAAGGAGCUUUGUGGGCUACAGUCCACGGGUCACAAAGAGUCGGACAUGACUGAGUGACUUCAUUUUCACUUUCACUUUAUGGCUUCAUCACAUCUGUAUACAUUAUUUUUCUAGUUUGGAGGCUUUAUAAACAUUGGAUUGCAUGUAGUCUCUUGAGACUAUUUUUCAUUUACCAUUUUGUCUCUCAAAAUAUUUCUCUGUUGAUAUGAGUACUUGUAUUAUUCUAUUUUCACUGUCUUGUGGUGUGAAUAUGCCGCCACUUAUUUAUUCAUUUCCCUGAUAGUGGAUCAGUCCAACUGUUUCUUUUUUGUCUUUUUUUGCUUGUCCUUGUGUUUUUAUUCAUGAACAAUGUUUCUAUGUUUAUUUUUUUACAUGCUUUCUGAUACAGAUAAGCAAGAAUUCCUGUGGCUUAGAUAUGAAAUUACUGAGUUAUAGGAUAUGCACAUUUACAGCCUUACAGGAUAAUGCUAAAUUGCUUUCCAAAGAUCUUUCGCCAGUUGACACUUCUAAAAACAAAGAGUUCUCAUGUUUGCAUAUUCUUGAUAAAAGAUUGUAUUGUUAGACUUGAAAACUUUUUCCUCUUCUCCUGGGUAUAAAAUGAUCUCCCUGGUGGUCCAGUGAGAUCUGGACCUUUGCAAUGCAAAGAAUCUGCCUUGCAAUGCAGGGGACACUUGUUCAAUCCCUGGUCCAGAAAGAUCCCACCUUCCAUGGGGCAACUAAGCUCAGGAGCUGCAACUACUCUGCCUAGAGCCUGUGCUCUGCAACAAGAGAAGCCACCACAAUAAGAAGCCCAAGCACCUCAAUUAGAGAGUAGCCCCUGCUCACCGCAAGCAGAGAAAGCCCACGCACAGCAAUCAAGAUCCAGUGGCCAAAAGUAAAUAAAUAAAUUAAUUAAAAAAUGAUUUCCCA